GACGAACGCUGGCGGCGUGCUUAACACAUGCAAGUCGAACGGAAAGGCCCUGCUUUUGUGGGGUGCUCGAGUGGCGAACGGGGGAGUAACACGUGAGUAACCUGCCCUUGACUUUGGGAUAACUUCAGGAAACUGGGGCUAAUACCGGAUAGGAGCUCCUGCUGCACGGUGGGGGUUGGAAAGUUUCGGCGGUGGGGGAUGGACUCGCGGCUUAUCAGCUUGUUGGUGGGGUAGUGGCUUACCAAGGCUUUGACGGGUAGCCGGCCUGAGAGGGUGACCGGCCACAUUGGGACUGCGAUACGGCCCAGACUCCUACGGGAGGCAGCAGUGGGGAAUAUUGCACAGUGGGCGGAAGCCUGAUGCAGCAACGCCGCGUGCGGGAUGACGGCUUUCGGGUUGUAAACCGCUUUCGCCUGUGACGAAGCGUGAGUGACGGUAAUGGGUAAAGAAGCACCGGCUAACUACGUG
rnacentral:rRNA from 1 species